CAUGACCUGGAUUUCUUUCUCUCCGUGGUGCAAGCAAAGACAGAAGCUGGGGGUGUUAAGGAUCUGUUCAAAUCCUUCUACUCAGAAGAGUCAAGAUGUCCAGCUGUGCCGACAAGAGCAAUGCCUGUCCCUGUUACUCAAAUAUUUCCCAUUUUUCCUACUUAGGUACAGCUUCAUGGCAAAACCUUAAAAAGAAUGUUUGGUUGUAUGCAAUAACAUGCCAAAGCCUGCUUAAAGCCAUCACCUCCAACACAGCAAGCAAGAAGCUCUACCUCCAAGUGAUUCCUUUGGAGUUUUUGUGUGCAGUCUUUCUAGACAGUGUUUUCUGUCAAACAGCAGUGGGCAAGCUGUCGUUCAUCAUCCAAGAUGUUUUUUGUAAGGGGUAAUGCUCCCUGGUGCUUAGAGUGGUAAUCCUGUAUUAGUUGUAUGCAGUGGGACCUCUGGUGGGCAUCUGGUGGUAUUUCUGCUGAAAAGUUUUUUGAGAACAAGGUUUGGUCGUCAGCCCGAUCCAGAUGGCUCACUUCUACCGAGCAGACAUACCCUAUGCUGUAUUUUAUGGUCUCUGAGUCUCGUGUCAUCAGCUACUUUUCAGCUUGAAAACAUGGCUGAUAAGGAUUUUCAAGGGAACCAGCCUAUUUACCACGCUACUAUUGUUAGACUUUUGCUUAGCACACACUAUGGGCUCCAAACUGCCAGAUGUGAAGUGUGAGAUUGGUGCCAGAAAGUGUACUGUUGGCACCAACAGACCACUUUGUCACAAUUCUACUGUGCUGGGCUAAGUUCUUCGGGAAUAAGUUUAUCUUUAAUAGAAAAUUUCAGCUAUAGCAUGACCCUAAAGGAUGUUUCUUUACAGGACAAAUGCAUAUCCUGUAGGGUUUCUGCUUUGGUAGUGCUGUUCUCCCCUGCUCUAUCAAGUCUGGAGGUUGGAAGGGGAUGCUAUUCUUAGGUGGUAACAAUUGCAUUUAGAUGCUGAGUGCUUCACUGCUUUUUAUUAUUGUUUUUUUCCUGAGAGAAAAUGCAUACAGAGGAUGAUCAGAAAGAGUUGUGGUUGAAAGUUGAAGGCAGAUGGCUGAGAACAGAGAACAACGUGGACAAGGAAGUCCAAAGGAGCACAUAUUGAUGUCAAACAAAGAGAACUGGGCUAUCUCCUGCAUUUUAUUCCUGCCACCUUUCUCAAAAUUGAAUGAAAGUAUGAAAACAAGACUAAAACACAGCAAAUGAAAACAUCUACAGGAGAACUGCUUUUAGCAGAGGUUGGUAGAAAGACAGAAAUAAUGAGGGCUGGGAGCAUGUCUGUCAUUUCAGAGGGAGAGAGGCUCUACUUACACCUCUUCCCCAGCUGGCUCUAGUUUUCAUUUUCUGCAAAACAAGUCAGAGGAAUAAGAGAAAAGGAAGAACACAAGAACAAGUUAUGGAAUAAAAGAGAAGAGGAUAUGACAGGAGAUUGGUUAGCAUCCCUUUCCUGAGAUAAUUAGUGUAAGUAGUAUUGAAUAGAAAUGCAUGCAAGCAAAGUCAAGUUACAGUGGUUUUACUAUAUUUGCUUGCUGAUGCGGAAUCUAUGCUCAUACACAGAAAUAAGCAGAGUGAUCUAUUGAUUGAAAGGAAAUAAUAACAGCAUGUGAAAUUCUAGCAAAAGUCACCCAAUAAUACAACAGUAAAAAAAAAUCAGAUGAUAAUAGUAAUAAUAAUUUGGAAUCUUCUACCAA
ensembl:lncRNA